CGGCGGACGGGUGAGUAACGCGUGGGCAACCUGCCUCAUACAGGGGGAUAACAGUUAGAAAUGACUGCUAAUACCGCAUAAGCGCACAAGGCCGCAUGGCCCGGUGCGAAAAACUCCGGUGGUAUGGGAUGGGCCCGCGUCUGAUUAGCUGGUUGGCGGGGUAACGGCCCACCAAGGCGACGAUCAGUAGCCGACCUGAGAGGGUGGCCGGCCACAUUGGGACUGAGACACGGCCCAAACUCCUACGGAAGGCAGCAG
rnacentral:rRNA from 1 species